rnacentral:rRNA from 1 species
UACAGAGGGUGCGAGCGUUGUCCGGAAUCACUGGGCGUAAAGGCGCGUAGGUGGCGACCCAAGUCGAUGGUGAAAGCUCGCCGCUCAACGGCGAGUCGGCCACUGAUACUGGGUUGCUGGAGCACUGUAGAGGCAGAUGGAAUUCCGGGUGUAGCGGUGGAAUGCGUAGAGAUCCGGAAGAACACCGGUGGCGAAGGCGGUCUGCUGGGCAGUUGCUGACACUGAGGCGCGACAGCGUGGGGAGCAAACAGG